UACGUAGGGUGCAAGCGUUGUCCGGAAUUAUUGGGCGUAAAGAGCUCGUAGGCGGCCUGUUGCGUCGGCUGUGAAAACCCGGGGCUCAACUCCGGGCCUGCAGCCGAUACGGGCAGACUAGAGUUCGGCAGGGGAGACUGGAAUUCCUGGUGUAGCGGUGAAAUGCGCAGAGAUCAGGCAGAACACCUGGGGCGAAGGCGGCCAGCUGGGCCGUCCCUGACGCUGAGGCGCGAAGGCGUGGGGAGCGAACGGG
rnacentral:rRNA from 1 species